UACGGAGGGUGCAAGCGUUAAUCGGAAUUACUGGGCGUAAAGCGUGCGUAGGCGGUUCGUUAAGUCUGCUGUGAAAGCCCCGGGCUCAACCUGGGAAUGGCAAUGGAUACUGGCAAGCUAGAGUGCGGUAGAGGGUAGUGGAAUUCCCGGUGUAGCGGUGAAAUGCGUAGAGAUCGGGAGGAACACCCGUAGCGAAGGCGGCACUCUGGGCCGGUACUGACGCUGAGGAGCGAAAGCGUGGGGAGCAAACAGG
rnacentral:rRNA from 1 species